CCUACGGGAGGCAGCAGUGAGGAAUAUUGGUCAAUGGACGAGAGUCUGAACCAGCCAAGUAGCGUGAAGGAUGACUGUCCUAUGGGUUGUAAACUUCUUUUAUAUGGGAAUAAAACGUUCCACGUGUGGGAUUUUGUAUGUACCAUAUGAAUAAGGAUCGGCUAACUCCGUGCCAGCAGCCGCGGUAAUACGGAGGAUCCGAGCGUUAUCCGGAUUUAUUGGGUUUAAAGGGAGCGUAGGUGGAUUGUUAAGUCAGUUGUGAAAGUUUGCGGCUCAACCGUAAAAUUGCAGUUGAAACUGGCAGUCUUGAGUACAGUAGAGGUGGGCGGAAUUCGUGGUGUAGCGGUGAAAUGCUUAGAUAUCACGAAGAACUCCGAUUGCGAAGGCAGUUCACUGGACUGCAACUGACACUGAGGCUCGAAAGUGUGGGUAUCAAACAGGAUUAGAUACCCUUGUAGUC
rnacentral:rRNA from 1 species